CAGCCGCCGCGGUAACACGUAGGUGGCGAGCGUUGUCCGGAAUCAUUGGGCGUAAAGGGAGCGCAGGCGGGCAUGUAAGUCUUUCUUAAAAGUGCGGGGCUCAACCCCGUGAUGGGAAAGAAACUACAUGUCUUGAGUACAGGAGAGGAAAGCGGAAUUCCCAGUGUAGCGGUGAAAUGCGUAGAUAUUGGGAGAAACACCAGUGGCGAAGGCGGCUUUCUGGACUGCAACUGACACUGAGGCUCGAAAGCCAGGGGAGCGAACGGGAUUAGAUACCCGCGUAGUCCCUGUCUCUUAUACA
rnacentral:rRNA from 1 species